rnacentral:rRNA from 1 species
UACGGUGGGUGCAAGCGUUAUCCGGAUUCACUGGGUUUAAAGGGUGCGUAGGCGGGCAGGUAAGUCAGUGGUGAAAUCCUUGAGCUUAACUCGAGAACUGCCAUUGAUACUAUCUGUCUUGAAUAUUGUGGAGGUGAGCGGAAUAUGUCAUGUAGCGGUGAAAUGCUUAGAUAUGACAUAGAACACCCAUUGCGAAGGCAGCUCACUACGCAUAUAUUGACGCUGAUGCACGAAAGCGUGGGGAUCAAACAGG